rnacentral:rRNA from 1 species
UACGUAGGUGGCAAGCGUUGUCCGGAUUUAUUGGGUUUAAAGGGUGCGUAGGCGGUUCUGUAAGUCAGUGGUGAAAUACUCCAGCUUAACUGGAGGGGUGCCAAUGAUACUGCAGAACUUGAGUACAGAUGAGGUAGGCGGAAUUGACGGUGUAGCGGUGAAAUGCAUAGAUAUCGUCAAGAACACCUAUAGCGAAGGCAGCUUACUGGGCUGUAACUGACGCUGAGGCACGAAAAGUGUGGGGGAUCAAAACAGGG